GCCUAUACACACCUAGACAAUUCCAAAGGAGAAAAAUAGAAUAUACAAACCCUCUCAUUCAUACGACCUUUCUUCUUUAGGGAUAUAGAGAGAGAGGGAGGAUACAGAAAUAGAGAAACGCCAUUUAUUCUCUCUUUUUCUUCUUCACGUACACACAACACACGGAAGACCUCCAUUUUUCUUUGUCGUUCACAUGCACACACAUGAAAUAAGGAAAAAGUGAGAGAAUGGAGGGUGAUUGAUGGAGAUUCAGUGAGAGAACAGCGAAACCGACAUGAUUGACACAGAUCCGGUGAAAAAUAGUGGAGUCGGCGAGAUCUGGUCAUGUUUCUCAAGUUUUUACGACAAACUUUUCACCUAAAUUCAUUUACAAUUCAUCGUUUAUUCUGCCCAGUCUUGAAACCCUGCGAUUUCUUUAUUUCCAAUCACUUACAAGUAGUUUCGAUCAGAAAACACCAAGGUUUCAUCGAAAUCCAUCUUGUUCUCAUUGGGUUUUUCUAUUGUUAACUCAUCGGACUUUAGUUUGUUGGGGUUCUUACCUUUUCUCUCAAUAAUUGGGUACAGAUUUUGUCGUUAAAUUUUGAUACCGAGAUGGAUUCACUCAUUUUGAGGUUUUUCUAUUGAUUCCCAAAUCUGUCUGGGUUGUCAAUUUUUGAACUUCUUUAUUAUCGAUGAAAAUGUUUUG
rnacentral:lncRNA from 1 species